UUCCACACAGUGGCUUAUCAAUCUUGAGUUAAUGGUGAUAUUAUAUAUACAGACGCCAAUGUUUUCUCUCUCUCAAGACCUCGGGAAGGCAAGGAGUCCCCUACUGUCCAAUCAGAGGCCAAGUUCUCCAGGAGGGAAGAAGAGAAGGAGAAGAUGAAGAGGACAGUACCACAGCACUCAGAGACCUCCCAACCCAAACACACCCCCACAGGCAGGUUCCCAGGGCCAACACAGCUCAGGUGCACAUCUGUUUCCAGGUCAGACUGAGGCUCUGUCAGAGGGGGUUCUCCAACCCUUCCCAGCAGGGGCUCCAAUCCAGGAAGAGGAAGGAGAUGGAGGAGACUAAAGGGUGGUGGGCUUUAGAGAUAGAGAUGGACGAACUGGAGUCCAUCAUGUCUGAGGACAUGGACGAAUCGGAUGAGCCCAUGUCAGCCAGUCAAGGCCAGCGGUUGAAGCUGACGGAACAGAGUUCAACCAUCAAGGCCAGACGGUCUCAACUGAUAGACAAGAGCUCAACCAAUAGAAAAUCGCUCCUAGAGACAGUGGAUCUUACCUCUGCCAAUAAGAAACAGCGGGUUUAUUCAGUGGAACCAAUCGCAGCCUAUCAUAGGUCAGGCUUUGAUUCAGAAGAGCGAUCGUCAGCCAGCAGACGACAGUUAGCGGAGCCUGUAGCUGAGGUCAAAGACGAAGAGGUGUCAUUCAUUGAGUCAAAACCAGUUUAAUGGUGUGACCCCUGGUCAUCUGGAAGAGCCAGAGACUGAUGUCAAACAGGAAGCCUCAGGUUUUAGGGGGUGAGAAUCUCCCCAGCAGACUUAUAGUGGUGGAGUUCAAAUCCCUCACCGGUGGCAACACCGGCAAGACCUAACCCACGCCCCAUGGAGACGCACGGCAAUGUCAUCAGGAAGGACUUUAA